UACAGAGGUCCCAAGCGUUGUUCGGAUUCAUUGGGCGUAAAGGGUGUGUAGGUGGCGCCGUAAGUCGGGUGUGAAAUCUCGGGGCUUAACUCCGAAACUGCAUUCGAUACUGCGGUGCUUGAGGACUGGAGAGGAGACUGGAAUUCAUGGUGUAGCAGUGAAAUGCGUAGAGAUCAUGAGGAAGACCAGUGGCGAAGGCGGGUCUCUGGACAGUUCCUGACACUGAGGAGCGAAAGCCAGGGGAGCAAACGGG
rnacentral:rRNA from 1 species